rnacentral:rRNA from 1 species
UCUAAAGCUAAAUACUGGCUGGAGACCGAUAGCGCACAAGUAGAGUGAUCGAAAGAUGAAAAGCACUUUGGAAAGAGAGUCAAAAAGUACGUGAAAUUGUUGAAAGGGAAGCGCUUGCAACCAGACCUGUCCGUGGGUGAUCAGCCGCCGUUCUCGGUGGUGCACUCGCCUACGAUCAGGCCAGCAUCGGUUCGGGCGGUCGGACAAAGGCCUUGGGAAUGUAGCUCCUCUCGGGGAGUCUUAUAGCCCUCGGUGCAAUGCGGCCAGCCCGGACCGAGGACCGCGCUUCGGCUAGGAUGCUGGCGUAAUGGUUGUAAGCGACCCGUCUUGAAACACGGACCAAGGAGUCUAACAUCUAUGCGAGUGUUUGGGUGUUAAACCCAUACGCGGAAUGAAAGUGAACGGAGGUGAGAACCCUUUAGGGCGCAUCAUCGACCGAUCCAGAUGUCUUCGGAUGGAUUUGAGUAUGAGCAUAGCUGUUGGGACCCGAAAGAUGGUGAACUAUGCCUGAAUAGGGUGAAGCCAGAGGAAACUCUGGUGGAGGCUCGCAGCGG